GCAGUCGAACGGUGAAGCCCAGCUUGCUGGGUGGAUCAGUGGCGAACGGGUGAGUAACACGUGAGCAACCUGCCCCUGACUCUGGGAUAAGCGCUGGAAACGGCGUCUAAUACUGGAUACGAGUAGCGACCGCAUGGUCAGUUACUGGAAAGAUUUAUUGGUUGGGGAUGGGCUCGCGGCCUAUCAGCUUGUUGGUGAGGUAAUGGCUCACCAAGGCGUCGACGGGUAGCCGGCCUGAGAGGGUGACCGGCCACACUGGGACUGAGACACGGCCCAGACUCCUACGGGAGGCAGCAGUGGGGAAUAUUGCACAAUGGGCGCAAGCCUGAUGCAGCAACGCCGCGUGAGGGAUGACGGCCUUCGGGUUGUAAACCUCCUUUUUAGCAGGGAAGAAGCGAAAGUGACGGUACCUGCAGAAAAAGCGCCGGCUAACUACGUGCCAGCAGCCGCGGUAAUACGUAGGGCGCAAGCGUUAUCCGGAAUUAUUGGGCGUAAAGAGCUCGUAGGCGGUUUGUCGCGUCUGCUGUGAAAUCCGGAGGCUCAACCUCCGGCCUGCAGUGGGUACGGGCAGACUAGAGUGCGGUAGGGGAGAUUGGAAUUCCUGGUGUAGCGGUGGAAUGCGCAGAUAUCAGGAGGAACACCGAUGGCGAAGGCAGAUCUCUGGGCCGUAACUGACGCUGAGGAGCGAAAGGGUGGGGAGCAAACAGGCUUAGAUACCCUGGUAGUCCACCCCGUAAACGUUGGGAACUAGUUGUGGGGUCCAUUCCACGGAUUCCGUGACGCAGCUAACGCAUUAAGUUCCCCGCCUGGGGAGUACGGCCGCAAGGCUAAAACUCAAAGGAAUUGACGGGGACCCGCACAAGCGGCGGAGCAUGCGGAUUAAUUCGAUGCAACGCGAAGAACCUUACCAAGGCUUGACAUAUACGAGAACGGGCCAGAAAUGGUCAACUCUUUGGACACUCGUAAACAGGUGGUGCAUGGUUGUCGUCAGCUCGUGUCGUGAGAUGUUGGGUUAAGUCCCGCAACGAGCGCAACCCUCGUUCUAUGUUGCCAGCACGUAAUGGUGGGAACUCAUGGGAUACUGCCGGGGUCAACUCGGAGGAAGGUGGGGAUGACGUCAAAUCAUCAUGCCCCUUAUGUCUUGGGCUUCACGCAUGCUACAAUGGCCGGUACAAAGGGCUGCAAUACCGCGAGGUGGAGCGAAUCCCAAAAAGCCGGUCCCAGUUCGGAUUGAGGUCUGCAACUCGACCUCAUGAAGUCGGAGUCGCUAGUAAUCG
rnacentral:rRNA from 1 species